rnacentral:rRNA from 1 species
UACAGAGGGUGCGAGCGUUGUUCGGAAUUACUGGGCGUAAAGCGCGCGCAGGCGGCUUCUUAAGUCCGUCGGUCAAAUGCCGGGGCUCAACCCCGAGCGUGCCGAGGAUACUGGGAGGCUGGAGACAUGUAGAGGCAAGCGGAAUUCCGGGUGUAGCGGUGGAAUGUGUUGAUAUCGGAAGGAACGCCGGUGGCGAAAGCGGCGGACUGGGCUUCUUCUGACGCUGAGGCGCGAAAGCUAGGGGAGCAAACGGG